UUUGUUACAUUCUCCCCGAUAACCUUUUGACCAGUGCUCUUUCUUGGAUUUCAUUUUGCAGGACAAUCAAAGCAAUCUGGAAGCACAAAUAGAUGCAUUAUUGAAUAUUGAAAAGCAAAUGAGACUUGCUGGAGAUGUUGCUGGAACUAGAAAAGCUGUGUGUGACAUUCUCCAGUUAUGCUUUGAAGCUAAAGCCUGGAAAACCUGGAAUGAUCAGAUUGUUGUUCUGUCAAAGCGCCGAGGCCAGCUCAAACAGGCUGUGACAGCAAUGGUGCAGCAAGCCAUGGGUUACAUGGAUCAAACAUCUGAUCUUGAUACUCAUAUAGAGCUCAAUAGCUCAUUAAAACAUUGAAUAGUGUAUCUGCUGGGAAGGUAACCAGAUAUUAUUGUGUUGAGCUUGUCUUUUGUUAAGUUAUGCUCUUUCAUACGUUUCAUGUCUUAUAUUCUGUUUGUUACAGAUAUAUGUUAAAAUAGAAAAGGCAUGGUUGAUCAAGACCCUUGCUAAUGUUAAGGAAGAACAAGGGCUUAUCGACGAGGCUGCUGAAUUGAUGCAAGAGAUCGCGGUAAGUGUGGUUUACUACUCUGUUUUUUUGGUAAAAGUUGUGUAAUUGAUCAUCAUUACACAUAUUUUUGUGAUACUGCAGGUUGAAACCUUUUGGUGCAAUGGCAAAAACUGAAAAGAUUGCUUUUAUUCUUGAGCAAGUUCGCCUUUGCUUAGACUUUAAAAACUAUGUUUGGGCUCAAAUCCUUUCUAGAAAAAUCAGUCCCAGAGUUAUUGAUAUUGAUCCUUCAAAAGAAAAGAAAAAACCUAAGGAAGGUGAUGCCAUUAUAGAAUAGGCCCCUGCUAAUAUUCCAUUGUUGCCAGAAUUGAAGCGCAUCUAUUAUGAAUUGAUGAUUAGGUGAGUUCAAAUAUUGUUUUUACGGGGUGCUUAGUUCUGUUCUUGCUGGAUAUAGAAUUUUCUUCUUUUUGCAUAAAUUUUUUUCCUUGGGAUUAAAAUUAUAAACUAGUUUCAUUUCUAAUUAAGUAGAUUUUGCCAGGUAUCGUGACUUUUUUUUUUGUAUUUUGUUUUGUUUUAGAUAUUGCAAAGUCAAUAUAAUGUAGUUUUUUUCUUGAAAUUUUGAGCUUGGAAAAUUUCUGCACGUACCCAUAUUUCUUUUGUUGAUUGUAUGUUCUCAAAUCGAGGGAGCCCCAAUUCAUCUUCAUGAUGAACAAAAAACGUUUAUCUAGUGGCAAUUCCGUAAAUAAAUUAAUAUAAAAUCCUAGUCAUCAUGGCGUUUCUGUAAAUAAAUCAACAUUACUAGGGUCCACAUUUGACAAAAGUUUUUGAUUUAUUUACAAAAAUGCCACUAGAUAAACGUUUUUCAGUUUAUCAUGAAGAUUACUCUUAGAGAGAUUAAGGAGGUAGAGAGAAAAGACUAAUGUAUUGUAGGCAAAGUAAGUAUAAACUUAAAGGGGUAAAAUUUAUGAGGGAAACUUUCUAGGCUAAAAUUCUCUAAUUCAGUUAGUUUGGUGGACAACCAUAGAUUACUUUCAUCCCCUCUGUUCUCAUUCUAUCACUGCUCACCACAUUAGCAUCGUAACUUUACCAACCGAUUCCAAGUCCAGUUACUUAUUUUUUUUCUCUCUAUGUUCCUCUACAUCUCCUCGACCAUUAUCCUUUCUGCAAUCCAAAUUCACUUGCAUGAUCUCCAACUUUCUUACACCCUUAGACAUCUUAAAGAAAUAAAAGUUUAGAUAGAGCUUGCAUCCUUUGGAGACUGUUCUAGAAUCUCGUCGCCCGUGACAGCACUUUUGGUGUCAAAAGUGUUGAAAACUAUUGAAUUGAAUUCUUAUAUUGUAAUGUGUAUACUGAAAUAUGCAACCCAUUAAUUCACAAUGCACAAUAGUUCCAAUAUACAACAAUCUAAUCGUCAGAACAAAAUUCUCACUACCCAAAUCUUAAAACAUCAUAUAUAUAUAUAAUUCAUGCUUCAUGGAUCAACCCAACCAACUAAAACAGAAUCACACAAUGCCCAAAUUCAUACUUUAAAUCCCAAAAGUCAAGCUAAGUUUUCCAAAAAUUCAAUCAACAGACAAAAUUAAAACUGCAAAAAUAAA